GCCGGCCUGCACAGAGCCCGCACGGCGGCGGUAGCUCGGGGCCUCUGCUGACCAGGGUCUCCUCCCGUUCCCCUCGCACAUUACCAGGCAAGAAAACGCCUGAUAGCUCUCAUUUGCAACGGAGCCCCUUAAAAAUCCGACCUAAACCCAAACCACUCCAGCGCUGGAGGCUUCAUUCCAUACUUGCCACACGACAACUGAGAGCUUUGAAACAUCUUUGCCAGAUGUACAGGCCCAGGCAGGGCCACUCAGAGAAGUACCAGUUUCAGUAAGAGAAUUCAAAGCCUUCCCUCCAGCUCUGCUCAACCCCUCUUUGCUGAUUUCUCUUCCCAUGUACUGGAAAACACACAGGGAAAGCCACUGAUCCCCAGUAUCGGUGAGGCAGCAGGGCUCAGAUGGAUAAUACACUUCAUUGAAGCUCAUAACCAGUGCAUCAAUUAGAACUCACUUAAAAAAAAACAAACCAGACCAUGGCAUGGCAUAUCAAAAGAUACCCCAAAAGUUCACCUCCAUCCACUAACUGGACAUGCUAAAAUAUGAAUCUUGAGUACCCUAGGUGGGCACAGGAAUGAAAAUGAUGCAAUGAAUAUCUUUAGAAGCAAAGACCAGUCUAUGAUUAUACAGUUUAUAACUGUGGCAUAUGAAAAAAUGGCUGUUGAGCAGAGGAAAAUUGUUUAUUAGUUUUAUUGCAGCCUGUGGUUUGAAGUCAGUGUUAGGAGCUGCAUAGAGCAUUUUAAGAGACAGGAGCGCCUCCUGCCUACACUGUAAGGAGCUCACAAUGCAACUCCUUGCCCACAGAAAAGCAAAUAGGGGAAAGGCACUGUGCCAGAAUGUCUCUUGUUUCUUCAUAUUCUGAACUAUAAUCAUGUUAUAUAUGCAUUUAUCUGCAGGCAGGGCAGUAACCUGGCCUUUUGGUGAUUACGAUGAUCGUGGUUUUCCCCUCCAUGAGCGUUCUCUUUCUGUUGCCUUUUAAUUGCCAUUUUGUUUGGAUUGUAUUUUAACUAGUUGGGAUCAGGUACACUCUUUCCUUAAAAAUGUAUACAACAGUACAUAUGCCAAACACCUGGGAUGUUCCUAAAACUGUGGGCUUGUAUUUUUAUCUUUGCAGCCUGUGAUUAUUAUUUUUUUAAUCACACAGUUAUAAUAAUAUGUAAUCCAGUAUAUUAUUGCAAAAUAUAUUCAUUGCAUCAGGUAUCUGUUUCUUCCCCCACCAUUUCUGGUACACAAUCGUGUCUCAUUGACCUGUAUCUGAUAAAAUUGCAUAAUGUAAAUGGUAACUUUCUUUAACUCUUGACAAAGAAAAAAUUGGAGAACUGUUCAAAACUAAGUAUUUCAGAACUUUCCUGGCUAUCACCUUCAGUGCUAAAAAACACAGAUAUAAAUCACUGUACAUAUGUAACCCACCCAAAUGAACUUUCCAAGAAAAAAUAACAAGCUAUUCCUCUAAUUAUUUGUCCCCACCCAGAAAAUUCCACAGAUGGAAAUUUGGUGAUUACAGAUUUAUACUCCUGCUGAUAACUUUUGCUGGUUUAUGGUGCUUGAUAAAAACAUAUUGAAGGUGACAUGUUUACUUUAGGUUUUAUGAUCAGUCAGGCACUGAGGUGCCCAACUAUCCCAUAUUUAAGGAUCAUGUCCAUCACUCGAAUUUCAAAGACAGCUGAAGAUGAGCUGCCAGCUAGAACACUCAGCACUGCAGUGACAAAGGGCAUUUAGAAAAGUCUAAUGUGAAGCACAUUGUUUUACAUACUUUGUGGCUUCUUCUUCCAGGAUGUCCCAUUCCUGGUCCAUGCUGGCAUGUGUUGCUGUCUGUUUUGAUCUGCUUCAUCUGAAAAACACCCCAAAGAACAACCCACAUCCUGAAACAACAGCAGCAGCAAAUCCCAACUCUCAAUACCCCCAGGCAAACAUGGAAAUAAGUAGAGAACCCCCUUACUUCCAAACCAUCACAAAAUAAACCCCAGGAUGGAACAGACAAAAUUACUUAAGUUGGGGAACUGUGAAUGCAGCAUGAAAAUAGAACGAAAGUGACAGUACACCCUGUAAGUCUGCUCUCCACCAGUUUUAGAGAAUUGCAACUAUUCACCUUGUGUUUGAAAUAAAAUUUAUUGCCUGCCUCCCCCAAUAACCCCGUACAGCCAAGACAGCUAAUGCCUGGAUUGUUCCCUUGUGAUGUGUAGUUAGAAUUGCUACAUGUCUCACUGAAUUAUAUCUUUUUAUCCCAUAGGAGGGCAUCAGUUUACAAGAAGAACACACAGUAAUGUCAGUAAUGCUGCUUCAGGAGGCAAUGCAGCUUGGCUUUCCAAUUUGAGAAUGAAUUUGGACUCUGGGGUUGUUUAAAACACAAUUUAUUAAAAUUAAGCACAUUUCAUAAAUAAUCCUCAGGAAACAAGAAGCAUAGGCUUUUCUGCUACUUAAAAAAACACUUGUCAAAUCAUAACUCAUUCUCAGGUACGGGCUUUCCUAAAUCUCAAAAGUUCUCAGGAUCAUUAUAGUUGCAAACUUAACUAGGGGUUUUCUUUUUCUUUUCCCUUUUUUCUCUGUGGUGGAUAAGUCAUGUUUUGCCUUGAUGAGUUUGUCUGUUCACCCUGAAUAGUUAUCAGUACGAGUGAAAAUAGUAGGCCGCCUGCAGCACCAUACUUGAAAUCCUCACCCUCUGUUUUCUUUUUAGCUACAAUAUUCGAGAAACAAAAAAAAAAACACUCUUUAGAAAGGAACAUUAAAUGCACCUGAUUGAAAUUAAAGUUGUUUAAGCUGAAAACCAAUACCUACAUUGUAUAACAAGGUGCAAACAUAGGCACAAAAACACAAACAGAACCAUAUGAACAGCCACAAAAAUAGACAAUUGGCACACUCUACUCUGAGAAGUUAGAUGUGGAGUUUGUCCACCAAAGAAAACAGAUGGGCAGGGAAGAACUUUUCUCUCUGUUUGGCUGAGUAGUUCGUAUUCCCUAAUCUGAGUGGAUUUCAUUUGCACUCUCACAAUAAACAGAUUCCUCUUUUGAGGUAAUAGAGGACUGCAUGAGCUUUAAGCAAAGCCAACAGGUGUUACACGUACCUCUCUCUUCAAUGUUAGUACGGAAUAUUACCAGAGCAUUGAGGGGCAAUUUUAAAGAAAAGCCAGAUCAAAAGACAGGUAAUUCAAUUUGAAGACUUCAGUUCCCAGGCAGAAAAUCAGAUUAGAGUUGUCAUGUUACAGACACAUAUUCAGAUCUAUUUAUGUAAUAAACUCCUGUCCUCUACUUUGGCCCUUCAAAAGUUCUCUGCAAGCCCAUAUUUACCUAAUGCUCUUGAUUCCUCUUGCUGGCAUUUUGAUAGCUGCACUGGAAGAAGACGACCACAGGAAAAAGUAGAGCCACUGUCAUUUAGGGUAGUGUUAGCAGCUCAGCACUGGAACAAGAGACAAAACUUAGCCAUGCUAUCUUUUAACAAUUCAUGUUCAGCCACAACAAAGUUUUUUAAAGCUUAUCACAUCAGAUAAAGAGCAGCACUGCUCUGAACAAUGAAUCAAGCAUAACCUCUUCCUUCACAAUCUUAAGGGAUCUUUAAUGUUCACAAGGGUUUAAAGGAAAUGCCUGGGAAGAGAUUCAAGAGAGUACAAUAGAUAGUGCUCUGGUUUCUGACAGCCCUAUUCUCUACAGGACAGGUAACAAGGCUACUUGCACUCCUCUCCAGCUGCAAUGAGAGAAUGCCAACCUGGGACUUCAGUCCUCAGUGUUCUACCAGACAUCUUUUCAGAGAGCAAUAAUCUCUUUAAACAGAAGUCUAAACUAAACUACGCUGAAGUAAUUCUCUACAAGAAACAUGAAGAACAAGGAUAUGCCAGUAAUGACAGGGACUCCAAGAAUGACCUUAGAUGCCACGGAGAUACAGAGACAUUGUACCUUGUACAAAGAUACAGUACUGGAGAACUGCAAAGGCACCUCUGCAACACAGGAACAUCUUUUCAAAAAACAAUUAGAGUGGAAAUGAAGGUUCCCUUCCUCAUCCUGAAGAAACGGUGCAUGCAGGACCUUGUGACCAGCUAAUGAACAGGGAGCCAGAAGAAAUCAGCUGAGGUCACUUGGAGGCAACAACAGAAACAGAGACCCAAGAACGUAAUUCUAAAGCCAACUGUGCAAUUAACUGAUGGCAAGCAGGCAGGCAAGAGAGGAACGAUUCUAAUUCAACCAACCAUGUGUCUGAGGCCUCCAAAGCUGUGCUGCUUGGCAAAUAUAGCAAAAUAUAUAAACAUCUUUAUCAUCAGAAGUUGUUGCUGAGAAAGCAUGGCAAUAACUGACAAAAAGCAAAAAUUUUCACCAAUGAGUAUUUUUCACCGUAAGCCAAAAUCACAUAUAAACCUAGGUCUGGGAAUGAAAGGCUGGCUAACCAGGUAAUUAAUACUGCUGACAAAUCUUGACAAGAAUUAAGAAGUAUUCACUGCAGAAUUGGUGCCCCAGCUUACCUGAGUCCAUAACACUUACUCAUGCUGCUAAUUUGUUAUUUUAGUAAUGGAAAAUUUACCUCUCCCAACAAUUCUAUUGGUGCCGUAAGUUUUCCCUCUUUACUUGCACUUUGUUCAUUGCUACUUUCUUCAUCACCAUCUGAUUUUUCUCCCAGUGGAUCAUCAUUAUUUUGAUUUUCAGUAGUAUUUGGCUCAAUUUCAUCACCAAGUUCAUUACUGAGUGCUUUCUUAAUGUUCCUAGAUUCUUCUUCAUCUGAAUUAAAAACGUAGAUCUAAAGUAUCUAAAGGUAAAAUGUAUUAAUGACAACAAUAACCCUUGCAGAGCAUUUUACAUGUCCAGACUAAGUCCUAAACCAUUAUUCAUUAAUGGUAUAUAUUUUCUAUUUAACGAUUACAUCAAAAAGGUUCCUUUUAAAAUUUUACUUAAAAAGAGUUUGUGAACUUUAAAGUUCUUAAUAUUAUACCCGAAGGAAAAAAAAAAAAAAAAAAAAAUCUCUUACUGCAAGGAUGCAAUGGGACUGAAUAAUAUCUUUCACUAGUAACUCCAAAUGCUAGCUGUCUAAUCCUCUCUUGUCUAUAUGCCCACUUGAUUUCAAAUGCAAUCCUGUUGACAGACAGGACAAAAAGCUGAAUGAGUAUGUUUAUCAAUGAUUAAGUUUUUGAGUUUAAAAAUCACUUUUAGGCUACAAACACAAUUACAUUACCGGGCUCAGCUUAGUCUCAGUGAUACUAAUUUUACCAGCUUUGUCCCAUAAGAUCCAGUUGCAAAGAAAUUUUUGUAAAAGUAAACAUCAAAGAAUAUAGCAGCAAGGAAAAAAAAAAUAAAGAAAAUGUAAAAUUUUGUAUUCUAUUAAAAAGUCAAAGAACUGAUGCAGACCAGAUUGUCUUUAAGAAAACAUAAGUUGCAGUUCCAGCGUAACAAUGAGUUACACAGAUUAAAGGACAGAAUUGACAUCUUUAGAUGAAAAAAACCAUACUGUUCACAAAUAAUUUUUUUUUCAAUCAUGCAGUUCAUUUUCAGCACAUGUAAAAAUACACUGGUCAAGUCAGAAGAUAACACUAAUGAAAACAGAUCACAAGAAACUACGUAUGUACUUCAGACUUUGUUCCUCAUGUAUGCUGUUCCAGACUUCUAGGAUAGCUUGAAUUCACUGCAAUCUUGAGGAAAAGUUCAUAUUAAUUUCUUUUCU